rnacentral:rRNA from 1 species
CGGGUAACGGAGAAUUAGGGUUCGAUUCCGGAGAGGGAGCCUGAGAAAUGGCUACCACUUCUAAGGAGGGCAGCAGGCGCGCAAAUUACCCAAUCCUAAUACUGGGAGGUAGUGACAAUAAAUAACAAUGCUGAAGUUCAUACUUUGGUAAUUGGAAUGAGAACAAUUUAAACCCCUUAACGAGUAACCAUCAGAGGGCAAGUCUGGUGCCAGCAGCCGCGGUAAUUCCAGCUCUGAUAGCGUAUAUUAAAGUUGUUGCAGUUAAAAAGCUCGUAGUUGGAUUUUAGAGUGUAUUGAUACGGUCUCUUGUGAUAAACUUGUUGUACUGUAUCAAUUACUCUUUCCUACUGGUUACUCGACUCUGUUCUUUAUUGCAUGGAGUAGUGUCGCAAGGCAUCGCUUAGUAUUUUAUUGCUUUUUAGAUUGUAGUAAUUGGGUAAAACUGGUUAUGAAACCUAAGGGAUCACAGUAAAAGUAUUAAGUGGGGUUCCAGUUCAUUUACUUUGAGUAAAUUAGAGUGUUCAAAGCAGCCUGUAUGGGCA